rnacentral:siRNA from 1 species
AGCUGAAUGCCUUCCUCGGUCGGA